CAGCUUAACUGUCAUGGCUUCCCCCUGCAAAAGAUCCUGGGACCUACUGUUCAGUGAAGGUGCUAAGAAUUAUGUUUUAGGUCUGUACAAACUCCCUCCACUCAGACUUCAGGGCCAGCAAAAAUGGAAUGUUUUUUUAAUUGAGGCCUGGUAUGGAACACAGGAAUUUGCCUUCUAUUGAGUCAGGCCAGCCCCACGCUGCUCAAAAAAGCAGUGUGGAGCUUGCAUGAAGUCUGCCAACCUCCUCUCCCUCAGCUGUAGGGUGGCUGAGGGGGAUGUGGCGGGUGGACGCAAGCCCCACGCUGCUGUUUUGGGCAGCACGGAGCCUGCAGGCUCCUGAGCCACUGCGUCAUUCCCAGGAGAGAUGCGUAGCUUGGGCGCACUGCAAGCCCCAUGGUAAGUGCUGCCCCCUGGGUGAUUGGUGCCCAGUGCACCCGUUGCCCCCUAGCUACGCCUCUGUUCUGCCCACUCUCCAGCAGCCACUAUGAGCUGCCAAAGGGAGGAGGCUGGCAGCGGUGGCCAUGGAGAGGCUCUGCCAGCUCAUCCUCCUCCUGAGCUCAGCAGCGGCGGUUAUGAAGGGGGACAUUCCCAGAUCCAAACAGAAGCUGGGAAUGCUUCUGUGAAUUGGUGUGUCCCACAAAAACUGGGGCGGUUGGAGGGUAUGAGCUGUGUUGUUACAUAUGUUGUACAUACAUGGGUGUUUACUACUUAAUGAAAUACCUGUUCUAAAUUACUACAUUGAAUCUAGGACAUGGAUAGGCAAACUAAGGCCUGGGGCCCGGAUCCAGUCCAAUCACCUUCGAAGUCUGGUCCGUGGAUGGUCCGGGAAUCAGCAUGUUUUUACAUGAAUAGAAUGUGUCCUUUUAUUCAAAAUGCAUCUCUGGGUUAUUUGUGGGGCAUAGGAAUUCGUUCAUUUCCCCCCCAAAAAAUAUAGUCCGGCCCCCCACAAGGCAAGGUCUGAGGGACAGUGGACCAGCCCCCUGCUGAAAAAGUUUGCUGACCCCCGAUCUAGGACUUCAUUUUCACAACACAUGGUGCCAGGGUGAGAUGAAAUGUGUGCAGGUUUUACAGAAUAAGUGAGGGCUCGUCAUCCUUUAUCACUCUCAUAUGAGGCAGCAAAGGAACAGACAAGGAAGAAAAGGAUGCUGACAUAUUCCCCUUCAUUUACCUUAGUGCCUCCUGGAAAUGCCCCCUUUAACGCCAUCCAUUUCCUCCUCCCUCUCCCCAAUUCCUUCUCCUCUCAAGCUUCCUCAUGCCCAGAACCCUAAACUGUCUCUCACCCAUCUACACCCCUCCCAACCAUAUUUUCUCUCUUCCUCCAAUUGCCACCUUUACGUCCACCCAAUUCCUCCCUUCUCUUCCACCUUGCCAUCAGAAAGCUGAAGGUGUCAUACACAGAGAGACCCUUCUUCUCUGCAGCAAGGCCUUUCCUUAACCUCUCUUCAAGUUAUUUUCUACAAACAAGAGUCCCCUCCUUUUCCUCCUGCUCCCACCCGCUCUGCCUUUAGUCUCUUAGGAGAAGCCAAUGAAAACAGCACGGUGAUGGACUAGAG
rnacentral:lncRNA from 1 species